ensembl:lincRNA
GUUUUAUGCAGCACCUAGCUGCCCCUCCCCAUAGAAGACACCAAGGAUUUGGGGGGAAAAAAAUCCUCUCCCUAUAGGAGAAACAGCUUUUGCUCCCAGCUUGCCAGUCUCUGGUGGGCCCUAAAUGAGUGGCUAAGAUACACCAUAUGAACACUUGACUGGAAUUGCCCCUCUCAUCCAAGACACGAUGAAGUUGGGUUUGCUUGGAAGCGCUCCAUCAAAUGGCAAUGGUCUACAAGAGACAAGACUCAAGAAGUUACUCAAGAAGCAAGUCAAUGGGUGUACCCUACUCUGAAGGGGAGAGAAUCAUUGGGCACCAUCUUAGAAGAUGCCUAACACAAUGAUUAUCUACAACAUGGCCAGACUAUGAAGAUACAAGUGGGAAAAGGGAGAGUCAGAGGUGUGUUCCAAGGACUUCCAGAACUGAGACCACAGCCUGGCUAACAGCCGUCCAUUCCUGGAAAUUCAUUUCAAGAUGUUCUCCUAAAAGUUUAAUGAUAGGCGGAUUAUCUGCCUUCUCAGAAAUCUGGCGUGUUGGGUCUGGCCUCUAAAUGCGAAAGAAAAUAGGCCUCACUGCUUAAUAUUUAUUUUCUUGAGUGAUGUAAUAAAAUGAUAAAGUAAUAAAGUUGGCCAUCAUACUUGCUGGGUUCUACUUCUCCCAUACCAAAAAUCCUUACUGUAUCAUUUUGUGUUAUAAUACAAAAUACUGUAUCAUUUUCUAAUAUGUUUAGCUGCUGUAGUUCAUAAGAAUGAUUUAAAAGUGUUCAUUGCUUCUCAGGUUCUGUCUAUAUAAUUAUGAUGUACUUCAGACAGAUAAAUUGUACCUUGAUAUUGGACUUCUGGGCUGAGUAAUCAGCCUUAUGGAGGUUCUAAAAGAAGACUGAGGAUGUGUAUUAAGCAUGUAACUAAUCAAGAUUUGAAGAAAUACUAAUUCCCCGAUUAAUAAUCUUAGUUAUUAAUUCCAAAUUACCCUUCAUCACAGUCCAUCCUAGCCUUGAUUUCCAACAGACUUGGAGAUAGUCUGUCAACUCAGAGUGUAACUUCUAUUUGUAAAAUAAAAUAAAAUAAAAUAAAAUAAAAUCCCC